CACGUAGGGCGCAAGCGUUGUUCGGAAUUACUGGGCGUAAAGGGCUCGUAGGUGGCCAACUAAGUCAGACGUGAAAUCCCUCGGCUUAACCGGGGAACUGCGUCUGAUACUGGAUGGCUUGAGUUUGGGAGAGGGAUGCGGAAUUCCAGGUGUAGCGGUGAAAUGCGUAGAUAUCUGGAGGAACACCGGUGGCGAAGGCGGCAUCCUGGACCAACACUGACACUGAGGAGCGAAAGCCAGGGGAGCAAACGGG
rnacentral:rRNA from 1 species